rnacentral:sRNA from 1 species
GCUGGGUGCAUUGGCACACACCUGUAAUCCCAGCUGCUUGGGAGGCUGAGACAGGAUUGUGAGUUCAAAGCCAGCCUCAGCAAAAGUGAGGCGCUAAGCAACUAACUCAGUGAGACCCUGUCUCUA